rfam:Ailuropoda melanoleuca scaffold867_14, whole genome shotgun sequence.
GCUCCCUCUCUCACAUCCCUUGCAUGGUGGAGGGUGAGCUUUCUGAAAACCCCUCCCACAUGCAGGGUUUGCAGGAUGGCGAGC